UGAAGUAGUUACUGCAUCAAUGAGACGCGUUAUUAAAAAACAAUCAAUUACGCGAAAAAUUUCCUGGAAUUUUGGAGAAUGGUUCCCAAGGCAAGAAGUUCUUAAGAGCAUUAGAGAAUGUGACAGCAGCACUUUUUGAUGCUUUAAGUACAGAUGGUAAGCCGGAACAAGUGAUCG